rnacentral:rRNA from 1 species
CGGGCGCCACGGGAGUACCAAACUCUGAUUUAACGACGUUUCUUCUGAGUGGUACAAGCAAAUAAUCAAAACUUUUAACAACGGAUCUCUUGGUUCUGGCAUCGAUGAAGAACGCAGCGAAAUGCGAUAAGUAAUGUGAAUUGCAGAAUUCAGUGAAUCAUCGAAUCUUUGAACGCACAUUGCGCCCGCCAGCAUUCUGGCGGGCAUGCCUGUUCGAGCGUCAUUUCAACCCUCAAGCUCUGCUUGGUGUUGGGGCCCUACAGCUGAUGUAGGCCCUCAAAGGUAGUGGCGGACCCUCCCGGAGCCUCCUUUGCGUAGUAACUUUACGUCUCGCACUGGGAUCCGGAGGGACUCUUGCCGUAAAACCCCCCAAUUUUCCAAAGGUUGACCUCGAAUCAGGUAGGAAUACCCGCUAAACUUAACCAUAUCAAAGGGGGGGAAGAAAA